CAGAGGAGACAGGAAGCCAGAGAGGACCGUUUCUGUCAGUGUGUUAAAUUAAACCACAUAUGUAUGUCAAGCAAAGUCUAGUUUUCUAAGUAUAAGAGUAGUCUAGGUUAUCGUGACCAAACCCAGGUCGUCCACAUGCCUGGAAUCCAACCCAUUUCAGACUGAGCUUAAGACGAGGCAUUAGUUCUGGGAGAUAAAAUUAGUCAUCAGGUCUGGUGAGAGUAGUUCAGGUCUGUCUUGUGUGGUAGUCACUGAAGCACCCCCACUACACAAUAGGAGUAGUGUUUCUUUGCUGUGUCUCUCUAUCGAGCAAGCCAUCCACAGCAGGCCCCAGACCAUGGCAGCUCAGUACCUGCAGCAGAUGUACGCUGCUCAGAAGCAACACAUCAUGCUGCAGACAGCAUCUCUGCAACAGACACAGCCACACAGUAACAGACAGUCCCCCACCUCACCCCCCUGCAGCCAACUGCAUGGUGUCCCAGAUCACCAUCCCUGCCUCUCCCGGGAACAGGCCAGCUGAUUGGUUGUUCUGAGUUCCAGCUCCACCACAGGCAGGAUUACCUGGCAGGUCAUGCUCCUGGGGACUGCCUCCUGUAACCAGGCCCAGAUGUUAAUUCUGACCCCUGUGGCCACUGUGGCAGCAGUCCACUCUGACCUGCCUUCUGCAGCUUCUCUCAACUCUCCGCCUCCCAGGUCAGCAACCACCAAUUGGAUCAAGGGUUAAAGGUGAAAAAGGUUAAGAAUGCCAGGCUAGCUAACCUGUCGUCAGAAAGCACAGCAGGAGUUCACAUCUCACUACUGCCAAGAUGUCAUUUAUAUAACUGGAUGACAAAUACAUUUGAUACUAUUUUUACAUUAAAAAAAUGUAGGCCUAUCUGAUCACUGCACUGUAAGUCGCUUUGGAUAAAGUUAUCUGCUAAGUGUUAUAUACAGUAUCUGACAUGGCUAGAUAUGUGGACAGGUGGUAUAUAUUUGACUUGGUAUUUCAUGGCUAGACGUGUGGAUAAGUGGUAUAUAUUUGACUUGGUAUUUCAUGGCUAGACGUGUGGAUAAGUGGUAUACAUCUGACUUGGUAUUUCAUGGCUAGAUGCGGACAUGUGGCAUACUGUAUAUCUGAAUACACUGUAACAUACACUAUAUAUACAAAGGUAUGUGGACACCCCUUCAAAUUAGUGGAUUUGGCUAGUUAAGCCACACCCUUUGCUUACAGAUGUAGGAAAUCCAGCAGGCAUCCAUGCAAUCUCCAUAGACAAACAUUGACAGUAGAAUGGCUUUACUAUAGAGCUCAGUGACUUUCAACAUGGCCCCUUCAUAGCAUGCCACUUUUCAAACAAGUCAGUUCAUCACAUU